UGAGCAACCUGCCUUUGUGUGGGGAUAGCCGGGCUAACGCCCGGGUAAUACCGCAUACGGUCGCUGGGAGGAGUCUCCUGGCGAAGAUACCUCCGGGGCACAGAGAGGGGCUCGCGGCCUAUCAGCUAGUUGGCGGGGUAAUGGCCCACCAAGGCGACGACGGGUAGCUGGUCUGAGAGGAUGGCCAGCCACAUUGGGACUGAGAGACGGCCCAGACUCCGUACGGGAGGCAGCAGG
rnacentral:rRNA from 1 species